GAGUUUGAUCCUGGCUCAGAUUGAACGCUGGCGGCAUGCCUUACACAUGCAAGUCGAACGGCAGCACGGGGGCAACCCUGGUGGCGAGUGGCGAACGGGUGAGUAAUAUAUCGGAACGUACCCAGUAGUGGGGGAUAACUAUCCGAAAGGAUAGCUAAUACCGCAUACGAUCUGUGGAUGAAAGCAGGGGAUCUUCGGACCUUGUGCUAUUGGAAUGGCCGAUAUCUGAUUAGCUAGUUGGUAGGGUAAAAGCCUACCAAGGCGACGAUCAGUAGCUGGUCUGAGAGGACGACCAGCCACACUGGAACUGAGACACGGUCCAGACUCCUACGGGAGGCAGCAGUGGGGAAUUUUGGACAAUGGGGGCAACCCUGAUCCAGCAAUGCCGCGUGAGUGAAGAAGGCCCUCGGG
rnacentral:rRNA from 1 species